AAAUGAGAGCAUGAACGUAGAUUGCAGCACAGCGCCCAUCAUGCGGGAUGCUUUCAAUAACUGAUGUAAAAGAGCUAAUGACACCUGUUGUAAUGAGCUCUCUGCAGGAGUGUCCUAUGAAUCUGACGGAUGUGAAUUCUGGGGGUAACUAUGGAGUUCUAGUGACUACACAGAGACAAAGCACUUCUUGCUGCCACCAUGUGAAGAAGGAUGUGUUUGCUUCCUCUUUUGCCACAAUUGUAAGUUUCCUGAGGACUUCCCAGCCAUGCUGAACUCAGAAGAGGAAGUUGGAGGCAUGUGAGGUGCAGGAAGGAUUCUAAGCAGUGGUGCUGGCUUUGAAGAUGGAAGGCAUUGUACCUCAAUGAAUGUGACUGGUUUCUAGAAGCUGAGAGUAGCCAGCCCCCAGCUGACAGCCAACAAGGAAACAGGGACCUUGGUUCUCCAACCACAGAAAAUAGAUUCUACCAACAAGAAUGAGCUUGAAAGCAGAUUCUUCCCUCGCACUUAAAGUCUCCUGCAACUAUGGUGAUACACCUUGAUCCGGCAUCUUCCAUUCACCUCUCCAGAUUCAUUCUCCAUGCCUCAGUACUCUGUGCUAUUUCCCAGAAGGCUGAUCCUUAAGGACUACACCUGUGGGAUCCCUUGUCACUGGCAAUGGGACAAUGGGAGGUGCCAGCAGAAAAUCAGAGUGAUGAAGAAUGAGGUCUGGGUAUUUAUCUCCUGGCUUUCUGUAAGUAUACAAGGUGAUAAAAAGGAAAAUGAUUCCUAACAACUUGGGGGUAUGUGGAAGCAGGGGAAGGGGGUGCUGUGGGCUGAACUGUGUUUCCUCAAAGUCAUAUGCUGAAGCUCAAACUCCUAAUGUGACUGUAUUUGGAGCAGGGGCUUUUAAGAAGUAAAGUUAAAAGAUGUCACAAGGUGAACGUCACAAUCCAUUGGAAUAGGUGACCUUAUAAGAAAAGGGAGAGAGAUCUCUUCCUCUCCAGACACACACACACACACCCACACACACCAAGGAAAGGCCAUGUGAGCACGUGGUGAGAAGGCAGCCGUCUGUAAGCCAGGAAGAGAGACCUCACCAGAACUCAACCAUGUUGGCACCUGAUCUCGAACUUUCCAGCCUCUAGAACUGGAAGAAAGUACAUUUCUGUUUAAACUACCAGGUAUGUGAUAUUUUGUUAUGGCAGCCUGAAAAGACAUACAUGGGCAGGGAAGACUUCUCAGAGGUAUUUCUUGAGCUGAGACUUUUUGUUUCCUAGUGGUGGGAGGUAGGGUUUUCCAGGCAGAGAACACCAUGCAAUAAGGCACAAAAUUUCAGGGAAUAGUAUGUAUCAAGCACUUGGAUCAUAGAGUGCUUGGAAGGGAAGUGGAAGAGGCUGGAAAAGCAAGCAGAGGCCAGAUGUUAGGGUUUAAUGUCAAAGGCCAAGAAAUUUGCCUAAAAGAAGUCCAGUGGGAAACUACUGAGGGUUCUUAAGUCAUCUGAAGUAUGUAAUAGUAUCCAUGUUCAAAAGACCAUUCUUGUGAUUGUGUGAGAGGCCAGACUAAUAAAGAGGUAGAGAAUAAUUUAACUCUGAUUUUUGAAAUGUGCCCGAUGGAGCCCUCAGGGUCCUAAGUCAAGGAUCACCAUGAAGCUGGAGGAGGAGGCUAAGUGGGCAGGGUCAUGGGAUCCCAUGUCUACUUCACCCACAUAAGUUCUGUGGCCCUAGACUAGACCUGGAAUCUUUGUUACACUCAGGACAACUAGUCUAGAAUAUUUUACUUCAAAGACUGUACUGAAAGAGGCUACAUAGGGAGGUCAAAGGCACCUGCUUCAGCUCUUUUAGCUAUGGUGAAAAAGUCAGGGAAUUAUCAAGAAUUCUGAGAGAAAUGUGACUGGACCCAUGCCAGGAAGAUGUCAGAACUACUAAGAAAUACCAAUGGGGUGGACUGUUAUCAACCCCAGCUGAAUGACAGGCCAUAUGCAAAGUCCUAGACUAUUAUGGCUCUUAGAUUUUCAGACUACACCCAGUUGAUUAAAUGAGUCUGUGUGAUAAAUUGAAAUGUAAAAGGUUAUUUUCAUGCCAUGGAGAUCUGCUCUUGUCGGAUAUAUUUUCAUCUGAAAAUAUCGAUUAAAAUGAUUAAUAUAGACAUAACAAAAAUGACUAACUUGCUUUAGAGAAAAGAUGAUAUCUCUUAGGAAUGAGCUUUAAAAUCUCACGAGCGGUUUUUGGCAACUGCAUAGCAGAACUAAAAAGAAUGCAGGUUAAGUAUCUCUUACCCAAAAUGUUUCACAAGUAAAAUAAAACAGAAGUGUAUCAGAUUUCAAAUUUUUUUUAAAUUUUGGAAUAUCUGCAUAAACAAUGAGAUAUCUUGGGGAUAGGGCCCAAGUUUAAACAUAAAAUUAAUUUCUGUUUCAUAUACAGCUUAUGUACAUAAGCUGAUGGUAAUUUUAUACAUAUUUUAAAUAAUUUUGUACAAGACACAAAGGUUUGAAUGCAUUUUUGAAUGCAACCUGUCACACGGUCAGGUAUGUGAAAUUUUCCACUUGUGGCAUCGUGUUGACACUCAAGAAGUUUUGGUUUUGGAGCAUUUUGGAUUUUGGAUUUUAUGUAUUAUAAGAUUGUAAGGUAAAAACUAUGCCCAGGAGAGGGCAGUGCAGCCUUCUGUAAAGUUAACUAAUAGGCCCAAUAGAAAAUAGUGUGAGCAUUAAGAGCAGAGAUGUUCUAAUUCAUGAAAACUAUUUUGUGUUAAGUCACUUUACCUUUUUAAAACAUGAGAGACAUACUGCCACUUCUAUGUCCCUUGAAGAGACAGCACAAGGGAGAGCUGCUUAAGUCUUGUAAAAAAAAAUUCUGGAAAACUUUAGCUCCCUAAAACUGAAGAAUUGUAUCAAAACUGAAGAACUGUAUCAGUUCUAGCAGGUUUCUACUGACUUUCCUAUUUUAAACAAUUAUCUUUGUUUCUGAAAACUGAUUCAAUAAACUAGUUUUUAAAAGAGA
rnacentral:lncRNA from 1 species